rnacentral:rRNA from 1 species
ACAUCCAGAGAAUUUGGCAGAGAUGCCUUAGUGCCUUCGGGAACUCUGAGACAGGUGCUGCAUGGCUGUCGUCAGCUCGUGUUGUGAAAUGUUGGGUUAAGUCCCGNAACGAGCGCAACCCUUAUCCUUUGUUGCCAGCACGUAAUGGUGGGAACUCAAAGGAGACUGCCGGUGAUAAACCGGAGGAAGGUGGGGAUGACGUCAAGUCAUCAUGGCCCUUACGAGUAGGGCUACACACGUGCUACAAUGGCGCAUACAAAGAGAAGCGACCUCGCGAGAGCAAGCGGACCUCAUAAAGUGCGUCGUAGUCCGGAUUGGAGUCUGCAACUCGACUCCAUGAAGUCGGAAUCGCUAGUAAUCGUAAAUCAGAAUGUUACGGUGAAUACGUUCCCGGGCCUUGUACACACCGCCCGUCACACCAUGGGAGUGGGUUGCAAAAGAAGUAGAUAGCUUAACCUUCGGGAGGGCGUUUACCACUUUGUGAUUCAUGACUGGGGUGAAGUCGUAACAAGGUAGGCGUAGCGAG